rnacentral:rRNA from 1 species
ACAUUAGUGAAGCAAGGGCCAGCCAUACGGACGGCGCUACUCGCGUACAACGUCUCUGGCGCCCAACUUUACACAAUAUCCACAAACCCGUGUGCACCGUUUGGAUGAGUUGGGCAAGAGGCUCGGCUCUCCAAUCCAUUUCUACCAAACUCGUAUGGUUGUAUGAACGUGGAAAUCGUUGGACCGUAACUGGCCAACAACCAAUAAUACAACUUUCGACAACGGAUCUCUUGGUUCUCCCAUCGAUGAAGAACGCAGCGAAACGCGAUAGGUAAUGUGAAUUGCAGAAUUCCGUGAAUCAUCGAAUCUUUGAACGCACCUUGCGCUCCAUGGUAUUCCGUGGAGCAUGCCUGUUUGAGUGCCGUGAAUUCUCUCUCCCCAAGCGGUUGCGAUUGCACUGCUUUGGCGGACGAGGUUGGAUGGGUGCUUCUGCCUGUUUCGCAAGAAACAGGCUCGCCCGAAAUGCAUUAGCGCCUUUGGGACACACUCUGCAAACCGCUCUGAAAGGGAGGGCGGCAGAGGGGAUGGAGGAACUCCGCCCG